GGCUUGCUUGUGGGCAGCCCGACACCGUAUAUAUAGUCUAGUUGUGCUGUGUUACCGCCACACUCUCCGUGAAACAGGUUUCGUGUGCUCUUGACUUCCUGUGAAAAGAAUGAAGUGCGUGGUGGCUGUGAUCGUGAUCGCUCUAAUUCUCGGCUUGGCGUUUGGCCAUGGCCAUCAUGACGGCGGAAAGAAAGGAAGCCACGUGGUGCAGGUUCACCGCCCUGUUUACAAGCCGGGUUGCUUUCACGAAUACGGCUAUGGUGGGCACCAAGACGGCUACGGCAAUGGCGGUUAUGGACAUGGAAAUGGCGGAUAUGGACUUGGCAAGCAUGGUGGCCACCAGUACGUGCCAUACAGAUACUAGGCAGGCACGAAGGGAUAUCUCCUGUACUCCUCCGCUCAACAUGUGCAUUAUAGAGUCAAACGACCAUGACAAAUAAAAUUCUACUUGAAAGCAGCCACGUCCCGUACACGUGUUUGCAGUUGUA